ACGCUCGACACCUACGGGAUGCAGCAGUGGGGAAUAUUGCACAAUGGGGGAAACCCUGAUGCAGCGACGCCGCGUGAGCGAAGAAGUAUUUCGGUAUGUAAAGCUCUAUCAGCAGGGAAGAAACUGACGGUACCUGACUAAGAAGCACCGGCUAAAUACGUACCAGCAGCCGCGGUAAUCUGAGCGGGCUGGCAAGGC
rnacentral:rRNA from 1 species